rnacentral:lncRNA from 1 species
AUCAAACCCCAACCACUUGUAAUGUAAUCUGAGUAAAUUUUCUUUUUAGCGAAGUUUUACAUUUAACAAAUAUUCUGCCAAAUCCGAGAGAAAAGAAUUUGUUAAAAAUAAACUUUCCUUUAAAAACUGCAAUUAAAAUACUCGAAAUAUUACAUCUAUGACGUAAAACUCGUGACGUAACGCGUGACGCAUUGUAACGACAAAUUCGAAUUCGUUCCAUUUCGUAUUGUUGCCGACGCCAUCUUGGAAUUUUAUGCUUUCCGGAAAUUGCGAGUUCUUAUUCCCUCCAUUUUUAACAUUUUUCGUACAAAUUUUAAUAACGAAAACUCUCGUAACGAAGAAGUAUCAUUAUCAAAUUUCAUAAUCCACUUACCAGAGAGACAUGGAAUCAUUUUAAAAGCUUCUUGUGCUCAAAAAAUUAACAAGCAAAACAAAGGAAAGAUUUAACUGAUUGUGAGCACUUAAAGCCAGGAGUUGUGUGACAUCAUUUAGGCUUCUGACAUACCAAUAGAGCAGCUAUGUGACAUGUAUGUAUGAAAAUUACUUUGUGG